rnacentral:rRNA from 1 species
UACGUAGGGACCAAGCGUUGUCGGAUUUACUGGGCGUAAAGGGCGCGUAGGCGGCAAUUCAAGUCAUCUGUGAAAUCUCCGGGCUUAACUCGGAACGGUCCAGAUGAUACUGCUUUGCUAGAGUGCGGAAGGGGCAAUCGGAAUUCUCGGUGUAGCGGUGAAAUGCGUAGAUAUCGAGAGGAACACCUGCGGCGAAGGCGGGUGCUGGCUGACACUGACGUGAAGCGCGAAAGCUAGGGGGAGCGAACGGG